GAAGGAUCAUUAUCGAGCUAAGACUAAAAGUCUCCGAACGUGCAUGCCUUCCAUAUGCGCGUAUACGUGAGCCGCACAGUGAGCUGCACACAUGUGGUGGUGGUGGCCGUCAGCCGUGUUUUUUUGGCAGACAAUGGUCUGUAGCUUGCUGUGUGUUGAGGGGGGAUAGGUGACGUAUUGGGCUAGUUAGAAAGGUACGCCGCGAGCGCCUAUCCUCUCGUUAUUGGCAAAAACGGUAUCCAUUUGGUGUCUACACCCUACCUAGCUACUGCCUGGACCGUCGGUAGCUAUCAAAGGUGGGGAUAAAGCUCCUCGUCUUUACGGCGAGUCGAGUAGACUUAAUGAGUCUCAGCGAGGAGGCCACCAAAACCCAAACACAACCAGUCUUUUGUUUGAAAUGUUGUGAAGGUACUUCCUCGUGUUGUGCCUUUGAAACUGAGUAUAAAUCUUAGCGGUGGAUCACUCGGUUCGUGGAUCGAUGAAGAACGCAGCUAGCUGCGAUAACUAGUGCGAAUUGCAGACACAUUGAGCACUAAGAAUUCGAACGCACAUUGCGCCAUCGGGUUCAUUCCCGUUGGCACGUCUGGCUGAGGGUCGAAUUUGAAUAUCAAACAUCCGUGUGUUUUCCAACUCAUGGUGUAUUCGGCGAGCUAUGAUGGUGUUGUUGGCAAUGUGCUGCGUGUGUGUGUUGCGGCCUCUUUUAAGGAGAGGUCACUUCAUGUGCUCGAGGCAUGGCCGACGCGCCGACAUACCUUGCUAAGGCUUUGUGCCAUAUAUCGCUCGUAAUCAUUUGCUCCAUGCGAGGCGAUGAUGGCCGUCAAGUGUCGCUCUCUUAACCAUAGAUACGGCUCCGAGCACGUGUUUGCCAAUUGGCUAUCGGUUUGGGGUGCCCGUAUCAGAAUUGCUGGAAAUGGAAGAGAGGGUGAUGCUAGGUUGCUGUCACUAUGUUUUGACCUCAGCUCAGUCGUGACUACCCGCUGAAUUUAAGCAUAUAA
rnacentral:rRNA from 1 species